rnacentral:rRNA from 1 species
GAGUUUGAUCCUGGCUCAGGACGAACGCUGGCGGCGUGCUUAACACAUGCAAGUCGAGCGAUGAAGCUCCUUCGGGAGUGGAUUAGCGGCGGACGGGUGAGUAACACGUGGGUAACCUGCCUCAUAGAGGGGAAUAGCCUUCCGAAAGGAAGAUUAAUACCGCAUAAGAUUGUAGUUUCGCAUGAAACAGCAAUUAAAGGAGCAAUCCGCUAUGAGAUGGACCCGCGUCGCAUGAGCUAGUUGGUGAGGUAACGGCUCACCAAGGCGACGAUGCGUAGCCGACCUGAGAGGGUGAUCGGCCACAUUGGGACUGAGACACGGCCCAGACUCCUACGGGAGGCAGCGGUGGGGAAUAUUGCACAAUGGGGGAAACCCUGGUGCAGCGACGCCGCGUGAGUGACGACAGUCUUCGGAUUGUGAAACUCUGUCCUCAGAUUGCGAUAAUGACGGUACCUGAAGAAGAAGGAACGGCUCACUACAUGAAAGCACCGCGAUAAUACGUCUGUGGCAAG